AGCCCAGGAUCCCUUGCGCCCUGCGGUAGCCCGGGGCUGCCCAGGGCUGCGGGCUCCAGGCACCCAGAGCGCUGCGACCACAUGAAAGGCCCGGCGCUCAGCACCCGCCAGCCACCUCCAGCUGGUUUCUAACUACACCGCCGGGGCCUCCAUGCUUCUCAGAGACCAGCCUUCGAAGUGCCGCCUUACACCCGGGGCCUGGCCACCGGGCGGGCGCGGAUGGAGCUCUGGUCCACAUUUGGGAGCUCACAGUUGUUCCUGCCAGAUGUGGAAGCUGAGACUUAAAGAAGCUAUGAAACUUGAUCAGGUCAUGCAGCGCCAGAGGACCCAAGGUGGGAUCUCAACCCAGACUGUUUGGCUCCAAAGCUGAACUGCUACAUUACGUUGCUUCAGCAAACAGUCAUUCAUCCUGAGAGAUGAACAUGAUUCCGCACAGUGACUUCAGGGUGGCUUAUUAAGGGGAUAAACUCCUCCACCUCUUCUUGUUAAGCAUGUCUGUUCGACAGUCCAAGCCCAAGAUGAAAGGCAAGUGGCAUGGCUGAAUCAGCACUUUGGUCCCACCAUGCCUGCCACCUGUUUUAUUAAGCGUGCCAGUGUGUCAAGUGCUGAGGAAUGAAAAGAAGGGUGUUGUUGUCAACCGUGACUUUAUCCCCUCACUCCAGGCCUUCCCUCAGCCACCUCAGCUGGAGAGGCCUUGAGGCUGAGGAAAAAGUGCCUUCCAGGAAAGCAACUGCACACAUUUACCUCAGAAAAUAGGAAGCCCCCAAGAGCAGUGAAUGAAACAUUACUUUGCUGUCUUUGGAGGCCAAUUUCCAGGUCUCUCCAUUUUAAAAUGAAUGCAGAUACAAAAUCUCCUCAGUCCCCUGUAGCCGCGUGUGUCGUGUUUGUCCCCUUGGGACAGAAAAUGGUGAGCUUAUGUCCUGUGGUGAGCAAGAGCCCCCCUUGACCUGAAGUAGCUUCCAUCCGUCCCUCAGCCUCCCCCUUUUCCUUUCCAGUAAAGAAACCCAGUUGCCUGGUACAGUGUCAGACUUUGCAAGGCUGUUAACGACCUAUAAAAGUCCAAAGACAGACUACUCCAGAAGGAGGAAUCACUGACUAAGGAAAUCCUGAAUGCCCUAAGCCUGCUCAUUAACAAGAGGCGAAUAAUAACAGCCAAAGUGGAGAAGCUCAUAAAUUACCCAAGGAAGCCCAACGAAGUUGGGGGGUGGGGCCUGACCAAUGGAAUCCAGGGUUCACUUCUGGGGUUAAUGGAAUCCUGGCUGGUCCCUGGGAUUGCCCAAGGCCAGGCGUGGUGUUUCCUUCCUGCCUUGCUGGGAGAGGUGUGGAAGUUUGAGGGAGGUGAUUAUUGCAGAGUCACCAGCAAAUCAGGGCGAUACUUGCUCUGGGCCACAGAGGGAAGUGGGUCACGCACUGGAGAGUAUUAGAACUCCAAGCUUUGUCUUGGCGAUGUGCUCCCAGAUAAGUAAACAACAUCCCUCCCUUUCCCUCCCCCUACUGGGCAUCUUCCACUCCCAGUCAUUUAUCACAGGCUGAAGAAAACACAUUAUUAAAAAGAAAAAGGAAAGGCGGGGAGGAAGACCUAGGACUUCUCAAACCCCUUUCCUUCCAAGAGCUCCAGGCUCCAUGCUAUGAUCACUAUGAGCUUCCCGGACGGGCUUCCACACCCCCAGCAAACUGGGGGAUGAGUUUAAUUUGCUUUCCAUUAAAGCUCCUGCUACUUACUAAAGAUUUCACAACGUAAUGGCUCAGUAUAAGCAAAAUGGAAGCCCCAGGCAUGACUCAGCCCACCUUUUCAUGACUCAGGAUCUGGAAGAAAUUGGAGAAUGUAUGAUCAAAUCUCGCCUGUGGCACAUCCAGUACGAAGAGGUUUCCCAAUGCCCUGAUGUUUGUGUCUGUGUAGACGGUGAUUUCAUCACUCCACCAAUAAAGCCUAACAGUACCAACAACAGCAAAAGAAUAUGGUAGCUGACCCUUAUGGAGCCUUAUCCAUCCCAGGCAUUAAUAGACACACACGUUUCCUCCUCCGGCCCUCAUGCUAAACUCAAGAGGAAACCUAGGCUCAGAGAGGUGACGUGACUGCCCAGAUCGCACAGGGUGAGAGCCAUGGCCAAACUCGGGGCCCAGUUCCCUAACUGUAGGACUACAACCACAUUUUGGUGCCAUAUUUGAUACAAACUCAGGUAGAGGUUAAGAUCACGGGCCAAAGAGCCAGAAAGUCCUUGGAGACUGUCUUGGCCGCAUACUUUAGGGUGAGUCACUUUGCCUUCCUGAGUCUCACCUGUAAGAUGGGGGAAAUAAUACCGUUUGUGAGGAUUAAAUGAGAUUCUUCACAUAAAA
rnacentral:lncRNA from 1 species